rnacentral:rRNA from 1 species
UACGUAUGGUGCAAGCGUUAUCCGGAUUUACUGGGUGUAAAGGGAGCGCAGGCGGAAGGCUAAGUCUGAUGUGAAAGCCCGGGGCUCAACCCCGGUACUGCAUUGGAAACUGGUCAUCUAGAGUGUCGGAGGGGUAAGUGGAAUUCCUAGUGUAGCGGUGAAAUGCGUAGAUAUUAGGAGGAACACCAGUGGCGAAGGCGGCUUACUGGACGAUCACUGACGCUGAGGCUCGAAAGCGUGGGGAGCAAACAGG